rnacentral:tRNA from 1 species
GCUUCCAUAGCUCAGUCAGGUAGAGCACUUCCAUGGUAAGGAAGAGGUCACCGGUUCGAGCCCGGUUGGAAGCUCCA